UUGAAGUCAUUCGAGGUGAAACGGUCAAUGACUGAAACAUACCUUGAAUUGAAUGUGUCUGAGAAUGCGUCAUUACUGCUAUGACACAUUGAAUGCAGUUUAUGAUCACAAAGCCAUCAUCUCAAUGUCAUGAUACCAGUAAAUGAACGUGCAACAGUCUGAAGCCCAAGGGCACAGCAAGCUUGGGACAUGCAGAGAUAUUUCCCAGCAGAGCGCUCCAGGCUAAAGUCCUAAUUCAGAGUGAAUUCUAAGCAAAGAAGAAUUCUCUUCUACCUUGCAGAUUCAUAUGUCAUGGAUAAAGUAUUCAAAUAGGAUCUGUUUAAAAUCUUUUCGCCAACCAUACACUCCAUAAACUGGUGCUUCUAUGCCUAUUACUUGUAUUCGUUUGUGGCUGGCAUCCAAUGGUCAAUACCACUGUGCCUCUCUCGCUGAGGAAUGACUGCCUGCUUGCGUCACAAAACCAGGUGUGCUCACACGCAAGGGUUUCCCUAAAAAAAUGGGCUGCUAGGCAACAGCGUCAGAGAAUAACAAACAGCAGGACUCCCAAGCACGCAACACACCUAUAGAGAGCAAUAAAGGCAUUCAGCGUCCUGUGCAACUCAAUACAAAUCAUAGCAUGUUGUUUUGGAAUGACAUGAAGCCUGGCAGACAGUAGCUUCAAGCCACUUCCUCAACCACAUUCCAGAACCGCGAAAUACGCCACUUCAGAGCACAGGAGGUGACAUCAACUGAAUGCGGGCUGCUGACCUCAGCUCUUGAAAUAGCCCUCCAUGGUUAGCUGGAAGGAAAGGUGCUUGUAGGUCAUUUUCCCCCAAUUCAUCCUUACAUAUUUCAGUUUGGAUUCUCUCAGACUAAAGCAAAACCAUUAGUGUUGCACUGCAAAGGAUGUGCCCAUACAGAAAAUAUUUUUAUUGGGAAAAAAAUUAUGUGCGUUAUGCAUAAUCCACAGAUUAUCUUGCUUAUGAUUUCUUUGUUAUGUAUUAGGUUCUUGGCUAGAUCUUGCCUAGAACUGCCACGGCUGGCUAGCUAAUGCUUUUGGACACAAUGUAAAUUACAGUGAAAGGAUAGAUUGGGGAGAAUCAGAACAUUAUUUUGGAUCCAAAACAUAUGUAAAUAAGAAAUUAGCGUGUACAGCACCUCCUCAGAGCCCAAAGCAGCAAUCAAUCUCUCGGCAAUCAAGCCAAAAUGAAACAAGGCCCAGAUGGAGCUCAGCAGGCUAUUCAUCAUGUAGUUAAAAUCCAAACAUGUCAUUAGCAGAGACAAUAGCUGGAAGUGUCAAAAACAAGCUAGUUUGUAUACCUUUAAAUGUACUUAAAUGCAACCUUUUGUGGCGUUAAAUAGUUAUAGUUAUGAAUUUUGAACCAAAUGGAAGGUAGCUGAUCUUCUGCCAAGCUGGUCAGGCUUGUCUAUUUUAGUGGUUGUAAAGGGGUUAAAAUUAGUGGUGUAAAAAUUAGCGCGUUAACGCAGGCGAUUAAUUUUUUUUUUAUUUUAACACGUUAAAAACAUUUAACACAAUUAACACAGAGGCGGGUCUAGGUUUGGCCACCCCAUCCACAGCCACUAAAGAAUUGCGUUUAUUGAGACGCAGAACUUAAUAAUUAACACAUCAAAUAGAAGACUUUUCAGACGCGCGCUCCAGUGUCACCUCAGCAACAGGCCGGAGUCAAACGAGCGUGGAAACGGUACCGGUGACGAUUGGAGCUUCAGUAGAACAACAGUGAAAUGCGGUCAGAUGAGAUGUUGUCUGGUCAUAUGUCAGUAAAAACGAAUCUUCCUGUCCUGUCAGCUGUUCAAGUGCAGGCACAAAUAUGCCGGCGCGCGCUGUAUCAUACUCAAACCCAAAUGAAAGUAGGAGUAUCUAUGUAGUUAGUCGUAGUUAUGUCGUCAGUUAAACAAUGAAGUUACAAAAAAAGUCGACUAAAGUUCUCUUAAAACGGUGCGUGUAAGUGUUUAUUAUUUAAGAGUCACAUUUAAAGCAGUGUCAGAUCCGCUUCAUGUUCAGCAGCGGCAACUUUUAAAGGGGUCCAAUUAUGCUCUUUUACAAAGCCUUGAUUUUGUUUUGGGGGUGUACUAGAACAUGCUUUCAUGCUUGGUGAAAACGCACUUGGUCGAAAAACGCAUUAUUUUUAACAUAAUUUACAUUAUCACAAUACAUUUCUCCCAGCCUGACACAAAUGGCUCGAUUAGUUCUGGGUUUAGUGUAGGCCCGCCUUCUGAAAAACAAAAUGUGUUGUGAUUGGUUAGCUCUCCCACUGCGCUGUGAUUGGCGAACAGCUUAGACAGUAUUUCAGUAUUGCCACGCCCCUUGUCAAAGAAGCAAGAUCAGUGUACAACUGUUAGCGCGAGCUAGAUUGAAGUGAUUCUUACGUUUUAAAUAUGGAUAUUUUUCUUACAAAAAUGCAUCGAUUCAUUACAGGAGGCCUUUAUUAACCCCCUGGAGCUGUGUGAGGCACUUUUUUAUUAUGGACGGAUGCAUAUUAUUGGACUUGUUUUGGACUGAUGAGGAAAAACACCUGUCUAUGCCAUUCUAAAGCUUGGGAGUGCUAGGAUAAAUUUUAAUAUAUCUCGGAUUGCAUUCGUCUGAAAUAAGCAGGUCAUAUACACCUAGGAUGCAUGGAGGGUGAGUAAAUAAUAUGCUACAGUAGUGUUAGGUCCUAUCGUCAGCCUGCAAGAUCACCAAUACAUGAUAUUAUCGUGGUAAUGUGUUUAAUUAUUUACAUACUUAGUUUCAUUGCCCGAAACCAGCUCCAGCAUAAGGCUAAAAGCAACCUAACAUUAUCAAAGAACAUCAUCACUGAUCAGCCUAGUCUAUUCUAGUGCAAGUUUAUGCAUUUUGAAAAACACUCGCUUUAAAAGUGAAGCUGUCUACACUGUAUGAUGAAUAAAUCUCUUACCACACACUGCAUACGUCUGUGGCGCAUUACAGCUCUGAAGCGGCCACUCUAGUCCAUGCUUGUGUUUAUACCCGCCGCGCUGCGGCUUGUAAAGCGGCAUCACUGAAGUUAGACUAAUCCCCCACCUCGUCCCUACAGCCCCCCCCAUCCCCUCCCCCCCAACAAUUCAAAUUUCCAUGGGCGUGAUUUGAUUUAAUGAUAUUCUAAUGGACCGUGUUGUGACGUCAUUGCAUGCGGAAAACAAACUUUGUAGUCAUUGUAGGUCUUGAAAAGGGAUUUUUUAAAAACUAAAUAUCUCCUUUUGUAGUGAACUUUGAGAUUUGUAACUUUGUAGAUCUUUUUUUAUGCCCAAAGAUACACACCACACACUAAAAUUCAAAAAGUGAAAAAGCAUAAUAGCACCCCUUUAAAGUGACAGCAGCCAAAAUAUCCUAAUAACCAGCUGCUGUGAUGUCUGUUAAAGAACAAAAUUUUAAAAAAGUGGAAAUCAAUAACUUCAGUAGUUUUAAGCUUUGUCUCUUAUUUAAUUUAGAUUUUAGUCUUUAAGAACUUUAUUAAAUUUGGCUAUAUUUUCUUGCUGAAGGGCACGGGUAGUUAUAUGACAGUUAUUAUAAUGGGUUUAUGUGAAGAUUGUUUUAAGUUCACUUAAAUUACAAGUCUAAUAAAUGUUAAAUUAAAAGCUCUCAAUUAUAAUGUUGAAUGGCUGUAGUCAAUGGUUCAAUAUUAGGGAAAAAAAUCAUAGAGAAAUCUGUUGGUAUGAGUGAUACUUACCUUUAGUCAUAAAAAAAGAUGUCAUUAAAAAAUAUCAGAAAUGUUGAAGAUUGAGUGUGAAAUUAUUGCAAUAUAAAAGGAUAAUUAAAAUUUGUAAUGUUAGGUGGGAUUAAUCGCGAUUGAUUUCAGAAAAAAUGUGUGAUUAAUUAGUUUUUUUUUUUUAAUCGAUUGACACCACUACUUAAAAUACAUAUAUAAUAGCAAUGAGGCAAUAAUAAUUAGUUCAGUUAAAGUACCAAAAGCAAGUAAUCAUACUGAAUUAAUUUUAUUGAACAAAACUGUUAAAAUACAUACUAUAAACAAUAGAGCUAAUGUACAUUACGCAUUAUAACAUGCCUGCAGGGGAUGCCAACGACCUGACGAUUGUUUUUACACUUUACUACAUGAUCUAAUCCUUGUUUAAUUAAUUUGACUAAACAACAUUUAAUUCAAAUGUCCACUUAAUCUUUAAUAUUUGCCAGUUUCUUUAUGAUAGAAAAGCUACAGCCACUGUAAUGUCUUGUGGACAUCAAAACGUGUAAACUCUUUCUGUGUUUGCGUAGGUUUAUAAAUUAUUUACCUUACAAAUCUGAUGAAAUAACACACAUUGCAUUCCCAGAUGAACGUUAUAAUAAACCCAAACUCACAGCAAUGUGC